CUCAGACCACUCUAGUCUUCUGGAGUUCAACAUUGGUGACCAAGAUCUAUUGAGAAUUUGAAAUCUUUCUGCAAUCAACUCGAUUCGGUGUAUCUUUCAUCAGAAGAAUUAAUGGCCGAAAGAGAUGUGAAUUCAAUCCAUGAUCCUGAAAUACAAGAAUCACAUUCAAGUGCCAUACAAGAAA